GAUGAACGCUGGCGGCGUGCUUAACACAUGCAAGUCGAACGAUGAAGCCCAGCUUGCUGGGUGGAUUAGUGGCGAACGGGUGAGUAACACGUGAGUAACCUGCCCUUAACUCUGGGAUAAGCCUGGGAAACUGGGUCUAAUACCGGAGAGGAGCGGCCACCGCCGGGUGGGUGUUGGGAAGAUUUAUCGGUUUUGGAUGGACUCGCGGCCUAUCAGCUUGUUGGUGUGGUAAUGGCUCACCAAGGCGACGACGGGUAGCCGGCCUGAGAGGGUGGCCGGCCACACUGGGACUGAGACACGGCCCAGACUCCUACGGGAGGCAGCAGUGGGGAAUAUUGCACAAUGGGCGCAAGCCUGAUGCAGCGACGCCGCGUGAGGGAUGACGGCCUUCGGGUUGUAAACCUCUUUCAGUAGGGAAGAAGCGAAAGUGACGGUACCUGCAGAAGAAGCACCGGCUAACUACGUG
rnacentral:rRNA from 1 species